ACCUAUGAUUACUAUACGAUCUGAUUUGACCUGGAGAUGUUGCGGCGCACGUACACACACUCAAAUAAAAGAAGAAAAGCAACAGAUUGAAACAAGAAGUUCUUCUCGUUUUGUGACGUCAACCAUCACGUGAUUUGAAUGAAUCAAGACGAACGAGGGUUGGAACUCACGAAAUUAAGGGGGCAAGAUAUUACAAACACAAAAUUCUCUUCCAUCUAAAAGGUGGAGUCUAAGUCGACAAGUUUUUUUUCUUUUCUUUCUCGAAUCUACCAGACUUUUGACGCCCAUCGUCUACGGCACGAUUCAUCCAGAAAAGCAGGAUGGAAAACGUAACGAAACAUUCCUGAGCUAAACUUAAGCGAUGGCAGCGUUAAUUGGUGCAUCUUUAAAACAAAAUAGAAAUAGUUUUUCUUUUUCCUCUUUCUCCAGAGAAAAAUAAAAAGAAACAAAAAGGCCAUAAGGGCGAGAGCGGCGCCGCCGCCGGUCGUUGUGGAAUUCCGCACAUCGAGUCUCUCGACGACGUCGUUGCUCUCCUUUUUUUUCUUCUCCUUCCCCUCUUCCAAAGCAAACAAACCAAUUCUCAACUCUCUUUUUCUCGCCCCUCAACAUCACACACGUGUGGUAAGAUCGUCUCUCCUGCUGGAGCUGUCACGACCGGUUACACGUUCGCUCUGCUGGCUCUGUGUGAGGGCAUGAUCUAAAAUUAAAGCGCUUGCUCACUUAAGAGGAGACCUCAUCUCGAUCCCCUCUUGCUCCGGCUAUUGCAAUCCGGUGAUUCAUCCGCCCGCGACGUCGUUGAAAAUGGCGCAAAACAAGACCAAUCUGUCGCAAAAACAUUGGCAACCAACCGCAGCUGCUCUCCGGUGCAAUAAUAUAUCCUUUUCCUGUAAAUAUUUUGUGUUAAAAAGCAACAAAAAAAAAAGAGAAAAAUGUAAAAAAAAAAAAAAUCUAUACUUUUUACGACUUAGUCCCGAAUUUUUCGUAUUAUGCCCCGUGUAUUUCUUUUUAUUUUUGUUUUAUUUAUUACGAUAUAUACUGCAUCAUCAGGUGAAGAUGUAUUUGAUGUUUAUAGUUCUAUCAGAGCCCACUAGAUGUCGAUCCAAAGCCAAAAUAAACAACCAAGUUGAAAUAAGAGGGAGGGGAAAUUUAGUUUCCAAGUAAACAUCCAAAUUCCAAAGAGUUCUGUUCGUGUCGAUAAACAAUGUCGGGACAGAAAGAUAAUAUCAACCAGUUUUGCAGCAGCAGCAACAGCAAAAGAACAAAGGGUGUUUUGCGUAAAACAUAAAUAAUUUCGUUAGUUAUAAGAAGAUCCUGAAAUCUAUUCAAUAAAAUCGCAUUGUAGUAAAGGCGGUCAAAUGUGUGUGUGUGUUUGGGGUGAUAUCCAUUGCAAAAGGGCUCAAUUCAGCAUCUUACCUGGCUUGCAAGUUAUUUUCUCAUUUCUCCUCCAACCAUUAAAAGAUGGGUCACUGUUCUAUUCUGGUGAACCAAGGUAAAUAAACGGUAGUUGAUGAGUAACAUCAACUCUGACUCAACGUUUGUUUUUGAGAAAUACCUGGCAGCUUUUGAGGUCCAGAAAUGCUAUCUCGAGGGGAACUGGAUGCCAGGGAUUGUGGGCUGAGACUACGUUCUGGAGGCUGGAAUUUACUGUAGGUCUGUUUCCUUUCGUCGUAGUAACACGAAGGUACUUUCCCACUCUCCUGAUCAGAUAACUCACUGUCAGUGGGCUCCCACUUAGCAGCUUUGUAUUGCGUAAAUUUCUUUGGUUUAAAGUUUGGCAUCUCUUUCUUAGCAGGCUGCUUUUGAAUCUCCCCAGUUGCAACGGUUGGUGUAGAAGAAGGGUUGUUUGCUGGCGGUGUUGGUGUGACUGUUUGCUCGUGUAAAACGGGAAGCUCAAUAGUUCCUUCCUUGCCAAUGCUUGUUUCAAUCUUGUCUACUUUUUGCGGCUCACCGGGCAGCACAAGACCGAAUUCGUAACCGAAAUCGUACUUGAAAUAGAUUAGACCCGUGUCUGGAUCGAUGUGCUUCGUACCUAUUUCACAAAAUGCAUGAUUAAUGGUGAUGUUAGUGGGCUGGGUGUCAAAAUCACGCGCCGAAAUACAACGCAUUAAUUACCGAACUCUGACUGCCGACUUUCUUCGUGAUAGGCUUGUGGCUCAUUGCCCGUCGUUUCAACUGCUGGCUGUUGUUCGACAGUGGGAUUAGCUUCUACCGGCUGUUCGGCUGCUGUCACCUCAGGAGGAAUAACGCUGGUCGCUUUGACGUCCGAAAUGACUUGCUGGGCGAAAUGCUGGGCUUUCGUUCGGAAAGCGUCAGACAUCUGGACGAAAUGCGAAGCCGCCUUCUCCUCUACGUUACGUAAAUGUCAUUAGGUAAUUGAUCGAAAAGCGAAUGUAAAUUUAUGACAGUUUAAUUUACGAGCGGCAGCAGCAGUGGGUGGUGGCUCGGCAUAGCAAUAAACGGGUUCUUCGGCCGGCUGCAAAACCUUACCCGUCUGGGCGGUUAUUGGCGGAGCUGGCAGACGAAUGGCUUUCGGUUUGACUAGUACGACGGGCCUCUCCUCAGACUUGUCAAGUGCCGAUUUGAUUUUAAUCACAUCUGUCGGGCUAAUGACUGGGCGAGGCGGGCCUUGAAAACUGGGCGGCUGAUCGAAUACAGACGGUGGUGUAGGCGUUCGUGCUCCAGUAGUCGGUUUCUUAUUGGCACUUGCGGCAGACGAUGGCGGCUGGACCUUACGGUAGGCAGAGCAUCCAGCCGGAAUGAACUUGCUGGGCUUAACGACCGACAACGGAGAAUAGGCUUUUCUCGGUUGAGGUGGAUCGGGCACGAAAGGAAAAGGUUCCAGAGGCUGUUCUACCGGACGCUUAAUAACCGCUGGAACAACAGCUGGCGCUGGUCUAACCACAUCAGCCGGGUGCAAUUGGACAGUUCUAGUCGUCUGCUCAACUAUACAAACAAACGUGUCAAACAAUUACAAAUAUUUUAAAUAGCUAAAAUUAGAAAAUCUGUUUACCUGUGA